rnacentral:rRNA from 1 species
CGAACGAACGCUGGCGGCAGGCUUAACACAUGCAAGUCGAACGCUCGUAGCAAUACGGGAGUGGCGGACGGGUGAGUAACGCGUGGGAACGUGCCCUGAGGUACGGAAUAACUGCGGGAAACUGCAGCUAAUACCGUAUGAGCCCCUAACGGGGGAAAGAUUUAUCGCCUUGGGAGCGGCCCGCGUCGGAUUAGCUAGUUGGUGGGGUAACGGCCUACCAAGGCUUCGAUCCGUAGCUGGUCUGAGAGGACGAUCAGCCACACUGGGACUGAGACACGGCCCAGACUCCUACGGGAGGCAGCAGUGGGGAAUCUUGCGCAAUGGGGGCAACCCUGACGCAGCCAUGCCGCGUGAAUGAUGAAGGCCUUAGGGUUGUAAAGUUCUUUUGCCCGUGACGAUGAUGACGGUAACGGGAGAAUAAGCUCCGGCUAACUUCGUG